rnacentral:tRNA from 1 species
UCCUCGGUAGUAUAGUGGUGAGUAUCCGCGUCUGUCACAUGCGAGACCCGGAUUCAAUUCCCGGCCGGGGAG